GCUGGGAUAGCUCAGUCAGUAGAGUGUGAGAUUCUUAAACCUAAGGUCGUGGGUUUGAGCCCCACAUUGGGCA